rnacentral:rRNA from 1 species
UGGGGAAUUUUGGACAAUGGGCGAAAGCCUGAUCCAGCAAUGCCGCGUGUGUGAAGAAGGCCUUCGGGUUGUAAAGCACUUUUGUCCGGAAAGAAAUCCUUGGCUCUAAUACAGUCGGGGGAUGACGGUACCGGAAGAAUAAGCACCGGGCUAACUACGUGCCAGCAGCCGCGGUAAUACGUAGGGUGCAAGCGUUAAUCGGAAUUACUGGGCGUAAAGCGUGCGCAGGCGGUUUGCUAAGACCGAUGUGAAAUCCCCGGGCUCAACCUGGGAACUGCAUUGGUGACUGGCAGGCUAGAGUAUGGCAGAGGGGGGUAGAAUUCCACGUGUAGCAGUGAAAUGCGUAGAGAUGUGGAGGAAUACCGAUGGCGAAGGCAGCCCCCUGGGCCAAUACUGACGCUCAUGCACGAAAGCGUGGGGAGCAAACAGGAUUAGAUACCCUGGUAGUCCACGCCCUAAACGAUGUCAACUAGUUGUUGGGGAUUCAUUUCCUUAGUAACGUAGCUAACGCGUGAAGUUGACCGCCUGGGGGAGUACGGUCGCAAGAUUAAAACUUAAAGGAAUUGACGGGGUCAUAGCUGUUUCCU